AUUGAACGCUGGCGGCAGGCCUAACACAUGCAAGUCGAGCGGAUAAAGGGAGCUUGCUCCUGGAUUCAGCGGCGGACGGGUGAGUAAUGCCUAGGAAUCUGCCUGGUAGUGGGGGAUAACGUCCGGAAACGGGCGCUAAUACCGCAUACGUCCUGAGGGAGAAAGUGGGGGAUCUUCGGACCUCACGCUAUCAGAUGAGCCUAGGUCGGAUUAGCUAGUUGGUGGGGUAAAGGCCUACCAAGGCGACGAUCCGUAACUGGUCUGAGAGGAUGAUCAGUCACACUGGAACUGAGACACGGUCCAGACUCCUACGGGAGGCAGCAGUGGGGAAUAUUGGACAAUGGGCGAAAGCCUGAUCCAGCCAUGCCGCGUGUGUGAAGAAGGUCUUCGGAUUGUAAAGCACUUUAAGUUGGGAGAAAGGGCAGUAAGUUAAUACCUUGCUGUUUUGACGUUACCAACAGAAUAAGCACCGGCUAACUUCGUG
rnacentral:rRNA from 1 species